CAAAACUACUCGUGUUGU
rnacentral:snRNA from 1 species